GGAAUAUUGGACAAUGGGCGCAAGCCUGAUCCAGCCAUGCCGCGUGAAGGAUGACUGCCCUAUGGGUUGUAAACUUCUUUUAUGUAGGAAGACACCCCUUUUCGUGAAGAGGGCUGACGGUCCUACCGGAAUAAGGACCGGCUAACUCCGUGCCAGCAGCCGCGGUAAUACGGAGGGUCCAAGCGUUAUCCGGAUUCAUUGGGUUUAAAGGGUGCGUAGGCGGGAAAUGAAGUCAGUGGUGAAAGCCCACAGCUCAACUGUGGAACUGCCAUUGAAACUGAUUUUCUUGAAUAUGAUUGAAGUGGGCGGAAUAUGACAUGUAGCGGUGAAAUGCUUAGAUAUGUCCUAGAACACCGAUAGCGAAGGCAGCUCACUAAGUCAUCAUUGACGCUGAGGCACGAAAGCGUGGGGAGCGAAC
rnacentral:rRNA from 1 species